rnacentral:rRNA from 1 species
ACAGCAGCCGCCACGGUAAUACGGAGGGGGCUAGCGUUGUUCGGAAUUACUGGGCGUAAAGCGCACGUAGGCGGCUUGGUAAGUUAGAGGUGAAAGCCCGGAGCUCAACUCCGGAAUUGCCUUUAAGACUGCCGAGCUAGUAGGUGAGAGAGGUAAGUGGAAUUCCGAGUGUAGAGGUGAAAUUCGUAGAUAUUCGGAAGAACACCAGUGGCGAAGGCGGCUCACUGGCUCAUACUGGACGCUGAGGUGCGAAAGCGUGGGGAGCAAACAGGAUUAGAUACCCCCGUAGUCCCUGUCUCUUAUAC